rnacentral:rRNA from 1 species
UACGUAGGGUGCAAGCGUUGUCCGGAAUUAUUGGGCGUAAAGCGCGUGUAGGCGGCUCGAUAAGUCUGCUGUGAAAGUCCGGGGCUCAACCCUGGGAUGCCGGUGGAUACUGUCGAGCUCGAGUCCGGAAGAGGAGUGUGGAAUUCCUGGUGUAGCGGUGGAAUGCGUAGAGAUCCGGAAGAACACCGGUGGCGAAGGCGGCCCGCUGGGCAGGAAGGGGGUCGUAAGACCCCCGGCUGACACUGAGGCGCGACAGCGUGGGGAGCAAACAGG